rnacentral:rRNA from 1 species
GUCUGGGAAAAUACCAUUGGUUCGCAAUUGCGAGGUACACCUGACGUCUAGAUCCAUAUUAUCAUGACAUAACUAUAAAAUAGCGUAUCACGAGUCCUUCGUCUCGCGCGUUCGUGAUGACGUGUUUUAGAGGAAGGAGAAGUCGUAACAAGGUUUCUGUAGGUGAACCUGCAGAAGGAUCAUUUGCACAUGUGUAGCCAACUGCAUGCUAAUGAUAUUGUGGGCAACUGUAAGCAUGUAUUGCAAUGGACUUGCACUUGCCCUGGGCAGCAUGAUUUGUUUUUCAAGCAUGUGUGCUGUAGUGUGUGAUGUGUUUUGUAAACUGUUUGCAUUUCUCUAGUUGCUGCAACAAUUAUGUUUUGCAAGGAAUGUCUUAGCUCAAUAAAUGAUGAAGAAUGCAGCAAAAUGCAAUAUGCAUUGCGAAUUGCAGAAUUCCGUGAGCUAACAGAUGUUUGAAUGUUACUUGUACCUUUGGGAUAUUCUUGAAGGUUUGCUUGGUUUAAUGCAAAGUAGCUUUCAUAUACAUUUAAUGCUGAUUAGCAUUGUUGUGAACAAUAAAGGUCAAUGUUUUGCAUUGAACCUGGAUGUCAUACAGUUGUUUACAACCUAAACAUGGUUUCGUGGGGCAGACCUGUUUCGUCAUUUGAUGGUUGAUAUUGUAAAUGUGCACAACUGGGACAAGCUGAAGACUUGCAUAUGCUAAGCGUGAAGUGAAGCACAUAAACCUGCUGAAUUUAAGCAUAUAAGUAAGUGGUGGAAAUUAAACCAAU